rnacentral:rRNA from 1 species
UACGGGGGGAGCAAGCGUUGUUCGGAUUUACUGGGCGUAAAGGGCGCGUAGGCGGCCACCGCAAGUCGACUGUGAAAUCUCCGGGCUUAACCCGGAAAGGUCAGCCGAUACUGCGGGGCUAGAGUGCAGAAGGGGCAACUGGAAUUCUCGGUGUAGCGGUGAAAUGCGUAGAUAUCGGGAGGAACACCUGUGGCGAAAGCGGCGCACUGGACCAUAACUGACGCUGAGGCGCGAAAGCUAGGGGAGCAAACAGG